rnacentral:rRNA from 1 species
GUCAGCGACCAUACCACGUAGGAAGCACCAGUUCUCGUCCGAUCACCGAAGUUAAGCUACUUCAGGCCGGGCUAGUACUUGAAUGGGUGACCGGCUGGGAAUAUCCGGUGUUGCUGACU